rnacentral:rRNA from 1 species
UACGUAGGGUGCGAGCGUUGUCCGGAAUUAUUGGGCGUAAAGAGCUCGUAGGCGGUUUGUUGCGUCGGCUGUGAAAUCCCGAGGCUCAACUUCGGGUCUGCAGUCGAUACGAGCAAACUAGAGUGUUGCAGGGGAGACUGGAAUUCCUGGUGUAGCGGUGAAAUGCGCAGAUAUCAGGAGGAACACCGGUGGCGAAGGCGGGUCUCUGGGCAACAACUGACGCUGAGGAGCGAAAGCGUGGGGAGCGAACAGG